rnacentral:rRNA from 1 species
CAGUCGCCGCGGUAAUACAGAGGGUGCGAGCGUUAAUCGGAUUUACUGGGCGUAAAGCGUGCGUAGGCGGCUUCUUAAGUCGGAUGUGAAAUCCCUGAGCUUAACUUAGGAAUUGCAUUCGAUACUGGGAAGCUAGAGUAUGGGAGAGGAUGGUAGAAUUCCAGGUGUAGCGGUGAAAUGCGUAGAGAUCUGGAGGAAUACCGAUGGCGAAGGCAGCCAUCUGGCCUAAUACUGACGCUGAGGUACGAAAGCAUGGGGAGCAAACAGGAUUAGAUACCCGAGCAGUCCCUGUCUCUUAUAC